AGUCGAACGGCAGCACGGGGGCAACCCUGGUGGCGAGUGGCGAACGGGUGAGUAAUACAUCGGAACGUGCCCUGUAGUGGGGGAUAACUAGUCGAAAGAUUAGCUAAUACCGCAUACGACCUGAGGGUGAAAGCGGGGGACCGCAAGGCCUCGCGCUACAGGAGCGGCCGAUGUCUGAUUAGCUAGUUGGUGGGGUAAAAGCCUACCAAGGCGACGAUCAGUAGCUGGUCUGAGAGGACGAUCAGCCACACUGGGACUGAGACACGGCCCAGACUCCUACGGGAGGCAGCAGUGGGGAAUUUUGGACAAUGGGGGCAACCCUGAUCCAGCAAUGCCGCGUGUGUGAAGAAGGCCUUCGGGUUGUAAAGCACUUUUGUCCGGAAAGAAAUGGCUCUGGUUAAUACCCGGGGUCGAUGACGGUACCGGAAGAAUAAGCACCGGCU
rnacentral:rRNA from 1 species